CCUACGGGAGGCAGCAGUGGGGGAUAUUGCACAAUGGGGGAAACCCUGAUGCAGCGACGCCGCGUGUGGGAAGACGGUCUUCUGGAUUGUAAACCACUGUCCCCAGGGACGAAAAUGACGGUACUAGGGGAGGAAGCUCCGGCUAACUACGUGCCAGCAGCCGCGGUAAUACGUAGGGAGCAAGCGUUGUCCGGAUUUACUGGGUGUAAAGGGAGCGUAGGCGGGGAUGCAAGUUGGGUGUCAAAACUACCGGCUCAACCGAUAGUCGCACUCAAAACUGCAACUCUUGAGUGAAGUAGAGGCAGGCGGAAUUCCUGGUGUAGCGGUGAAAUGCGUAGAUAUUAGGAGGAACACCAGUGGCGAAGGCGGCCUGCUGGGCUUUUACUGACGCUGAGGCUCGAAAGUGUGGGGAGCAAACAGGAUUAGAUACCCUUGUAGUC
rnacentral:rRNA from 1 species